UUACACUUUUUAUUUUUCUUUAUUUUUUUCUAUUUUCAAAGGUGAAUGUGAAACAAGAACUUGAUUUUAUGUAAAAGAGUUUAUCCCUUCUACUUCCCUUCUACUUGAGGUGUGAAGGAAAGUAAUGGAAAUCCUUCUGCCCUCCCAUUCUCAAGGGCUGGGGGAAUUACAAUAUUGAUAGGAAGUGAUGUUGGUGGAAGACAACAUUUUGCCCCUUGGAAUUCUCACAUGCACACCAAAGAAGUACUGUUUUAGUCAUUUGCACCAGCUUCCUUCUCCAGGAAAGGCCAAAACAAUGCACUCCAAGGGAAGCAAGAGGAAAACUCCAGAGAAUGAGCUGACAACUUAGUCCCCGGUCAGUGGCUCACUAUGCCCACCUGUGGUGUGUCGGACACCCUCGCAGAACAUGACUUCCUUGGAACUCUUUGGGGAGUGAAUGUUAUCAGCAAACUACCAAACCAACAACCCCUUAGACAAAGAGCCUCCUCACGUGUGCAUUGCCUCGGCCACCCGCUAAAGGUAAGGUGUUAGUUAAAAUAGUCCUUGCCUUCUAGGAGAAGCCAUGUUU
rnacentral:lncRNA from 1 species